rnacentral:lncRNA from 1 species
UUCCAAAAGGGCAAAAGACUGUGAAAAAAAUAAACAAAAGCUCCAAGAAUUAGGUUGGUUUUACAAAGCUACUAAUCAAAAUACUGAUUUGAAGUCGGCGGAAUUAAAUAAAUCAGAACAAACAAUGGAAUCAUCGUAUUAUGAUGAUGUUGAUCUGCAUUCUCUUGGUUCAGUGGAAAAUGAAACAGACGACAGUUUUAACGAUAAAUUAAAACCCGAAGAAAAUAAAGGCGUUGAAAAUGACCCAGCACUCUGGCCAUCGAUUCUUAAGCAAAGAGAAAAAGAAGAGUCAAUCAAAAAAGGUCCGUCAACUUUACCUGAUGAUUUCCCACGAGAUGCUUCUAAUAACAGGGCCUUUCCAAAAGAAGUUCUUUUCAUUGCAUUGCCUAAUGGAGAAAAAGUUCAACGAGAUUAUCUGAUAUAGAGCCCAUUCCCUUGGAGCCCAUGGAGUCUAACUCUCUACUUUGAUUCCCGUGUUCUUUAUUUGGGUGUGAAAAUUCCGGAUCCUAUGGAGAUCGAUCUCUUCUUUUUCGCUGAAAUGGAGGAAUAAAAAAUGACUGGAGAAAAUUGAGUGAUCGUAUCAAAAGUCAUCAUAGCAACCCAGUUCAUCAAAGCCAUUAUCUCAAUUGGAAGACUUUGCACUCAGCUCUUGUCGAUCAGCGCGGGAUCGACUCAGAGAGAGCCAAAAGGCACUAGAAAAGGAAGAAGCCAGAUGGCGUGAAAUACUUCGUUGUAUUUUAGAUGCAAUUUUAUUUUUAACAUCUCAAAACUUAUCCUUUAGAGGGCAAUAUUCGUCGAUGGAGAAGAACGAGAAAGGGAACUUUUUAAGUUGCCUUGAACUUAUUUCUCGUCACAACUAAACAUUAAAGAAUCAUCUUGAAACAGAUGCUCGUCAUC